rnacentral:rRNA from 1 species
UUGAACCGCAUGGUUCAAAAGUGAAAGACGGUCUUGCUGUCACUUAUAGAUGGAUCCGCGCUGCAUUAGCUAGUUGGUAAGGUAACGGCUUACCAAGGCAACGAUGCAUAGCCGACCUGAGAGGGUGAUCGGCCACACUGGAACUGAGACACGGUCCAGACUCCUACGGGAGGCAGCAGUAGGGAAUCUUCCGCAAUGGGCGAAAGCCUGACGGAGCAACGCCGCGUGAGUGAUGAAGGUCUUCGGAUCGUAAAACUCUGUUAUUAGGGAAGAACAUAUGUGUAAGUAACUGUGCACAUCUUGACGGUACCUAAUCAGAAAGCCACGGCUAACUACGUGCCAGCAGCCGCGGUAAUACGUAGGUGGCAAGCGUUAUCCGGAAUUAUUGGGCGUAAAGCGCGCGUAGGCGGUUUUUUAAGUCUGAUGUGAAAGCCCACGGCUCAACCGUGGAGGGUCAUUGGAAACUGGAAAACUUGAGUGCAGAAGAGGAAAGUGGAAUUCCAUGUGUAGCGGUGAAAUGCGCAGAGAUAUGGAGGAACACCAGUGGCGAAGGCGACUUUCUGGUCUGUAACUGACGCUGAUGUGCGAAAGCGUGGGGAUCAAACAGGAUUAGAUACCCUGGUAGUCCACGCCGUAAACGAUGAGUGCUAAGUGUUAGGGGGUUUCCGCCCCUUAGUGCUGCAGCUAACGCAUUAAGCACUCCGCCUGGGGAGUACGACCGCAAGGUUGAAACUCAAAGGAAUUGACGGGGACCCGCACAAGCGGUGGAGCAUGUGGUUUAAUUCGAAGCAACGCGAAGAACCUUACCAAAUCUUGACAUCCUUUGACAACUCUAGAGAUAGAGCCUUCCCCUUCGGGGGACAAAGUGACAGGUGGUGCAUGGUUGUCGUCAGCUCGUGUCGUGAGAUGUUGGGUUAAGUCCCGCAACGAGCGCAACCCUUAAGCUUAGUUGCCAUCAUUAAGUUGGGCACUCUAAGUUGACUGCCGGUGACAAACCGGAGGAAGGUGGGGAUGACGUCAAAUCAUCAUGCCCCUUAUGAUUUGGGCUACACACGUGCUACAAUGGACAAUACAAAGGGCAGCGAAACCGCGAGGUCAAGCAAAUCCCAUAAAGUUGUUCUCAGUUCGGAUUGUAGUCUGCAACUCGACUACAUGAAGCUGGAAUCGCUAGUAAUCGUAGAUCAGCAUGCUACGGUGAAUACGUUCCCGGGUCUUGUACACACCGCCCGUCACACCACGAGAGUUUGUAACACCCGAAGCCGGUGGAGUAACCUUUUAGGAGCUAGCCGUCGAAGGUGGGACAAAUGAUUGGGGUGAAGUCGUAACAAGGUAGCCGUAUCGGAAGGUGCGGCUGGAUCACCUCCUUU